rnacentral:rRNA from 1 species
GACGAACCGUGCGAACGUUGUUCGGAAUCACUGGGCUUAAAGGGCGCGUAGGCGGAUCAUCAAGUCAGGGGUGAAAUCCCACGGCUCAACCGUGGAAGUGCCUUUGAUACUGGUGGUCUGGAGUGGGGUAGGGGCAUGCGGAACUGGUGGUGGAGCGGUGAAAUGCGUAGAUAUCACUAGGAACGCCGGUGGCGAAAGCGGCGUGCUGGACCCCAACUGACGCUGAGGCGCGAAAGCCAGGGGAGCAAACGGG